UUGGAGGAGGAGGAGGAGGAGCUGACUUAUCGAAUCUAAUGUCUAUGUUUGGAAAUGGCGGCAGUGCGGCUAGACCAAAGCCGAAACCAAAGGCAAGAGGAAAGGGUGCUGGUGAGAGAAGACAACAAAGGAGAAAGAAGUGGAAAAAGCAACAGCAGCAGCAGUAA